rnacentral:rRNA from 1 species
GGAAUUGUUCGCAAUGGGCGCAAGCCUGACGACGCAACGCCGCGUGGAGGAUGAAGACUUUCGGGUCGUAAACUCCUUUCGACCGAGAUGAAUGUCCCGCGACCUAAUACGUCGCGGGAGUGACAGUAUCGAGGGAAGAAGCCCCGGCUAACUACGUGCCAGCGGCCGCGGUAAUACGGGGGGGGCAAGCGUUGUUCGGAAUUACUGGGCGUAAAGGGUUCGUAGGUGGCUCGCUAAGUCAGACGUGAAAUCCCUCAGCUUAACUGGGGAACUGCGUCUGAGACUGGCGAGCUCGAGUGCAGGAGAGGAACGCGGAAUUCCAGGUGUAGCGGUGAAAUGCGUAGAUAUCUGGAGGAACACCGGUGGCGAAGGCGGCGUUCUGGACUGCAACUGACACUGAGGAACGAAAGCCAGGGUAGCAAAC